AGUGAACGCUGGCGGUAGGCCUAACACAUGCAAGUCGAACGGCAUCACAGUAAGAGCUUGCUCUUACGGGUGGCGAGUGUCGGACGGGUGAGGAAUACAUCGGAAUCUACUUUUUCGUUGGGGAUAACGUAGGGAAACUUACGCUAGUACCGCAUACGACCUACUGGUGAAAGCAGGGGAUCUUCGAACCUUGUGCGAUUGAAUGAGCCGAUGUCGGAUUAGCUAAUUGGCGGGGUAAAGGCGCACCACGGCGACGAUCCGUAGGUGGUCUGAGAGCAUGAUCAGCCACACGGGAAGUGAGACACGGCCGACACUCUUACGGGAGGAAGCAGUGGGGACUAUUGCACGAUGGAGGAAAGCCUGAUCCAGCCAUACCGCGUGGGUGAAGAAGGAGCUCUGGUUGUUAAGUGCUUUUGUUGGGAAAGAAAAGCAGUAGUUUAAUCCGCCGCGGUUAUGACGGUACCCAAAGAAUAAGCACCGGCUAACUUCGUG
rnacentral:rRNA from 1 species